rnacentral:rRNA from 1 species
GACGAACACUGGCGGCGUGCUUAACACAUGCAAGUCGAACGGAAAGGCCCUGCUUUUGUGGGGUGCUCGAGUGGCGAACGGGUGAGUAACACGUGAGUAACCUGCCCUUGACUUUGGGAUAACUUCAGGAAACUGGGGCUAAUACCGGAUAGGAGCUCCUGCUGCAUGGUGGGGGUUGGAAAGUUUCGGCGGUUGGGGAUGGACUCGCGGCUUAUCAGCUUGUUGGUGGGGUAGUGGCUUAUCAAGGCUUUGACGGGUAGCCGGCCUGAGAGGGUGACCGGCCACAUUGGGACUGAGAUACGGCCCAGACUCCUACGGGAGGCAGCAGUGGGGAAUAUUGCACAAUGGGCGGAAGCCUGAUGCAGCAACGCCGCGUGCGGGAUGACGGCCUUCGGGUUGUAAACCGCUUUCGCCUGUGACGAAGCGUGAGUGACGGUAAUGGGUAAAGAAGCACCGGCUAACUACGUG